GGGGAUUUAGCUCAGCGGCAUAAGCGCCUGCCUUGCAAGCAGGAGUCGUGAGUUCGAUCCCCG
rnacentral:tRNA from 1 species